UGGGGAAUUUUGGACAAUGGGCGAAAGCCUGAUCCAGCAAUGCCGCGUGUGUGAAGAAGGCCUUCGGGUUGUAAAGCACUUUUGUCCGGAAAGAAAUCCUUGGCUCUAAUACAGUCGGGGGAUGACGGUACCGGAAGAAUAAGCACCGGCUAACUACGUGCCAGCAGCCGCGGUAAUACGUAGGGUGCAAGCGUUAAUCGGAAUUACUGGGCGUAAAGCGUGCGCAGGCGGUCUGCUAAGACCGAUGUGAAAUCCCCGGGCUCAGCCUGGGAACUGCAUUGGUGACUGGCAGGCUAGAGUACGGCAGAGGGGGGUAGAAUUCCACGUGUAGCAGUGAAAUGCGUAGAGAUGUGGAGGAAUACCGAUGGCGAAGGCAGCCCCCUGGGCCAAUACUGACGCUCAUGCACGAAAGCGUGGGGAGCAAACAGGAUUAGAUACCCUGGUAGUCCACGCCCUAAACGAUGUCAACUAGUUGUUGGGGAUUCAUUUUCCUUAGUAACGUAGCUAACGCGUGAAGUUGACCGCCUGGGGAGUACGGUCGCAAGAUUAAAACUCAAAGGAAUUGACGGGGU
rnacentral:rRNA from 1 species